AUGAACUCUGCACUGGCACUUGGGCAUUUGCUCCAUAUGCAUAUGUAAGUAUACAUCUUUUCACACAUUGCCAGCCUGGUCCCUGAGACACAAUGGUGAAGGUUUAGAGUGAAUGGAUUUGACCAUAUUGAAUGCCUUCAACUCUGGCAAAGUGGAUAUUGUUGCCGUCAAUGAUCUCUUCAUUGACUGCAACUGCAAGGUUGACAUGUUUUAGUAUGACCGUACCCACAGUAAGUCCAACAGCCCAGUUGAGGUUGAGAAUGGAAAACUUGUCAAUGGGAAGGCCAUCUCCAUCUUCCAGGAGUAAGAUUAUACCAACAUCAAAUGGGGUAAUGUUGAUGCCAAGUAGGUUUUGGAGUCUACUGGUAUCUUCAACACCAUGGAAAAAAACAGAGGUCAUUUGAAGAGCUGAGCCAAAGAGUCAUCAUCUCUGCCCCUUCUGCUGAUGCCCCCAUGUUUGUGAUGAGCACGAACCGUAGAUUUAUGACUACUAACUCAUGAUUGUCAGCAAUGCCUCCUGCACCACUGUACCACCAACUCCUUUUGUCCCCGAUUAAUGUUACCCAUGACAACUUUGUAUCAGGGAGGGAUGCAUGGCCAUGAUCCCUGACAUUUCUGUCACCCAGAAUACUAUGGAUGGCUUCUCUGGAAAGCUGUGGCAUAAUACCUGUCAGACUGCCCUGAACAUCAUCUCUGCACCCAUUGGUGCUGUCAAGGCUAUGGAUAAUGUCAUUCCAGAGCUGAACUGGAAGGUCACUGGCAUGGCCUUCCGUGGGCUUACCCCCAAUUUGUUUAUUGUGGAUCUUACAUGCUUCCUGAAGAAAGUUGUAAAAUGAUGCCAUGUAAAAUGAUGUCAAGAAGGUUAGGUAAGGUGGCAUCAGAGAGCCCAUUAAAUGGCAUUGUGGGCCACACUUAGGACCAGGUUGUCUCCUGUGACUUUAACACUGAUGCUACUCUCCUACCAUUGAUUCUGGGGCUGGCAUUGCUCUCGGAGAUGACUUUGUAAAAACUCAUUUUCUGGUUUGAGAAUGAAUAUGAGUACAGCAACAGGGUGGUGGAGCUCACAGCCUACAUGGUCUCCCCACUGUAAGAAGCCCUGGACCACCCAUCCCAGCAAGAACACAAGAGAGAGACAGGCUGGUGGCUGCUGAGGAGGCCCUGUCCCACCCCUGAGCACCUCACUUCACCCCAGACUCCCAAAUGAGGCAGAGUGGGAUGCUUCUUCUCUUGAAUGCUAUCAAUAAAGUUCACAGAAACCCUAAAAAAAAAUUGUUUUCUGUGCCUUUGACCUGGAAUCUCCUCCUUCCUCUAUAACCACUACUCAUGGUUUGGUCUU
rnacentral:lncRNA from 1 species